UCACGAAUCUUCCUCAAUGGGCGAAAGCCUGAAGGAGCAAUGCCGCGUGAUCGAUGAAGCUCUUCGGAGUGUAAAGAUCUUUUAUCAGGGACGAAUUUUGACGGUACCUGAAGAAUAAGUCACUGCUAACUUCGUGCCAGCAGCAGCGGUAAUACGAAGGUGGCGAGCGUUACCCGGAUUGAUUGGGCGUAAAGAGUUCGUAGACGGUUUAAAAAGUUCUUGGUCAAAUCUUGAGGCUCAACUUCAAGACUGCUAAGAAGACUUUUAGACUAGAGACUGGAAGAGGCAAGCGGAAUUGCCGGUGUAGUAGUAAAAUGCGUUGAUAUCGGCAGGAACACCAAAAGCGAAGGCAGCUUGCUAGUACAGUUCUGACGUUCAGGAACGAAAGCGUGGGUAGCGA
rnacentral:rRNA from 1 species